rnacentral:rRNA from 1 species
AGACCCGAAACCCGGUGAUCUAGCCAUGGGCAGGUUGAAGGUUGGGUAACACUAACUGGAGGACCGAACCGACUAAUGUUGAAAAAUUAGCGGAUGACCUGUGGCUGGGGGUGAAAGGCCAAUCAAACCGGGAGAUAGCUGGUUCUCCCCGAAAGCUAUUUAGGUAGCGCCUCGUGAAUUCAUCUCCGGGGGUAGAGCACUGUUUCGGCUAGGGGGCCAUCCCGGCUUACCAACCCGAUGCAAACUGCGAAUACCGGAGAAUGUUAUCACGGGAGACACACGGCGGGUGCUAACGUCCGUCGUGAAGAGGGAAACAACCCAGACCGCCAGCUAAGGUCCCAAAGUCAUGGUUAAGUGGGAAACGAUGUGGGAAGGCCCAGACAGCCAGGAUGUUGGCUUAGAAGCAGCCAUCAUUUAAAGAAAGCGUAAUAGCUCACUGGUCGAGUCGGCCUGCGCGGAAGAUGUAACGGGGCUAAACCAUGCACCGAAGCUGCGGCAGCGAACGUAUCACCCAAGACAACUUUACGGAGUUGACGAUUGACGGAGCGAAGCGACGUCAAAGCGUUCAUUAAAGUCGAGUUGGCUUAGGGGUACGUUCGUUGGGUAGGGGAGCGUUCUGUAAGCCUGUGAAGGUGUGUCGUGAGGCAUGCUGGAGGUAUCAGAAGUGCGAAUGCUGACAUAAGUAACGAUAAAGCGGGUGAAAAGCCCGCUCGCCGGAAGACCAAGGGUUCCUGUCCAACGUUAAUCGGGGCAGGGUGAGUCGACCCCUAAGGCGAGGCCGAAAGGCGUAGUCGAUGGGAAACGGGUUAAUAUUCCCGUACUUGGUGUUACUGCGAAGGGGGGACGGAGAAGGCUAUGUUGGCCGGGCGACGGUUGUCCCGGUUUAAGCGUGUAGGUGUGUGUUCCAGGUAAAUCCGGUUCACUUUAACACUGAGGCGUGACGACGAGGCACUACGGUGCUGAAGCAACAAAUGCCCUGCUUCCAGGAAAAGCCUCUAAGCAUCAGGUAACAUCAAAUCGUACCCCAAACCGACACAGGUGGUCAGGUAGAGAAUACCAAGGCGCUUGAGAGAACUCGGGUGAAGGAACUAGGCAAAAUGGUGCCGUAACUUCGGGAGAAGGCACGCUGACACGUAGGUGAAGUGAUUUACUCAUGGAGCUGAAGUCAGUCGAAGAUACCAGCUGGCUGCAACUGUUUAUUAAAAACACAGCACUGUGCAAACACGAAAGUGGACGUAUACGGUGUGACGCCUGCCCGGUGCCGGAAGGUUAAUUGAUGGGGUCAGCG